UUGAAAAGAAAUAAACAUAAAACUAGGAAUCCUAAAACCUAGAGAGAGGAGAGAGCCUUUCUCUCUAGAAACUACAUCUAAAACCUAAAUUGCGAAUAAUGAAAAGUGU